rnacentral:misc_RNA from 1 species
GAAAUGCGAUAAGUAGUGUGAAUUGCAGAAUUCAGUGAAUCAUCGAAUCUUUGAACGCACAUUGCGCCCCUCGGUAUUCCGUGGGGCAUGCCUGUUCGGGCGUCAUCUACACCCUCAAGCUCUGCUUGGUGUUGGGCGUCUGUCCCGCCUCCGCGCGCGGACUCGCCCCAAAUGCAUUGGCAGCGGUUCCUUGCCCCCCUCUUUGCGCAGCACAUUGCCAUUCGAGGCGGCGGCGGCCCGCGUCCAACAAGCUCAACCCCCCCGUCUUUGACCUCGGAUCAGGUAGGGAUACCCGCUGAACUUAAGC